rnacentral:rRNA from 1 species
AGAGUUUGAUCAUGGCUCAGGACGAACGCUGGCGGCGUGCCUAACACAUGCAAGUCGAGCGAUGAAACCCUUCGGGGUGGAUUAGCGGCGGACGGGUGAGUAACACGUGGGUAACCUGCCUCAAAGAGGGGAAUAGCCUCCCGAAAGGGAGAUUAAUACCGCAUAAUAUGUUUUAAUCGCAUGAUUGAAACAUCAAAGGAGUAAUCCGCUUUGAGAUGGACCCGCGGCGCAUUAGCUAGUUGGUGAGGUAACGGCUCACCAAGGCGACGAUGCGUAGCCGACCUGAGAGGGUGAUCGGCCACAUUGGAACUGAGACACGGUCCAGACUCCUACGGGAGGCAGCAGUGGGGAAUAUUGCGCAAUGGGGGAAACCCUGACGCAGCAACGCCGCGUGAAUGAUGAAGGCCUUCGGGUUGUAAAGUUCUGUCUUCUGGGACGAUAAUGACGGUACCAGAGGAGGAAGCCACGGCUAACUACGUGCCAGCAGCCGCGGUAAUACGUAGGUGGCAAGCGUUGUCCGGAUUUACUGGGCGUAAAGGAUGCGUAGGCGGACAUUUAAGUCAGAUGUGAAAUACCCGAGCUUAACUUGGGUGCUGCAUUUGAAACUGGGUGUCUAGAGUGCAGGAGAGGUAAGUGGAAUUCCUAGUGUAGCGGUGAAAUGCGUAGAGAUUAGGAAGAACACCAGUGGCGAAGGCGACUUACUGGACUGUAACUGACGCUGAGGCAUGAAAGCGUGGGGAGCAAACAGGAUUAGAUACCCCAGUAGUCC